rnacentral:rRNA from 1 species
GGAGGAAGGCGACAGGGUUAAUAACCCUGUCAGAUUGACGUUACCCGCAGAAGAAGCACCGGCUAACUCCGUGCCAGCAGCCGCGGUAAUACGGAGGGUGCAAGCGUUAAUCGGAAUUACUGGGCGUAAAGCGCACGCAGGCGGUCUGUCAAGUCGGAUGUGAAAUCCCCGGGCUCAACCUGGGAACUGCAUUCGAAACUGGCAGGCUAGAGUCUUGUAGAGGGGGGUAGAAUUCCAGGUGUAGCGGUGAAAUGCGUAGAGAUCUGGAGGAAUACCGGUGGCGAAGGCGGCCCCCUGGACAAAGACUGACGCUCAG